CAAUCAUUUGUUCUAAUAGGAGCCUUGGGACAGGAAGCCGCCUUCCGGGUUCAAGCGAUUCUCAUGCCUCAGCCUCCCAGGUAGCUGGGAUUACAGGCGCCCACUACCAUGCCACCCCAGCCCUCAUGGUGAUGUGCUGAUGUCUGCCCAGAGCCAAGACUUGGCUUCCCUGUAGCCUGGGCUCCCCAAAUCAGGCUACCCUGUCCCCUCUUUCUAGGAAGGAGGAUGACACACACACGCAGCAAGUGCCCCCUCCAGGGUUAGAACAAGGACAGUUCAGGGAUUUGUGUGUUUGGGGACAUGAAGCAAAGGUUCUGCAACAGUGGUCUGUGAGGUUAGUGGACCGGAAGGGGAAAGUCCCUCUGCUAGAGGAAACCUAGAAGGGCUUUCCCAAUAACCCCUGUGU
rnacentral:lncRNA from 1 species